GUGUCAGCAGCCGCGGUAAUACAGAGGUCUCAAGCGUUGUUCGGAUUCAUUGGGCGUAAAGGGUGUGUAGGUGGCGCGCUAAGUCGGGUGUGAAAUUUCGGAGCUUAACUCCGAAACUGCAUUCGAUACUGGCGUGCUUGAGGACUGGAGAGGAGACUGGAAUUUACGGUGUAGCAGUGAAAUGCGUAGAUAUCGUAAGGAAGACCAGUGGCGAAGGCGGGUCUCUGGACAGUUCCUGACACUGAGACACGAAGGCCAGGGGAGCAAACGGGAUUAGAUACCCGCGUAGUCC
rnacentral:rRNA from 1 species